UGUUCUUAAAGUUUGACCUCAAAUCAGGUAGGAGUACCCGCUGAACUUAAGCAUAUCAAUAAGCGGAGGAAAAGAAACCAACCGGGAUUGCCUUAGUAACGGCGAGUGAAGCGGCAAAAGCUCAAAUUUGAAAUCUGGUACCUUUGGUGCCCGAGUUGUAAUUUGGAGAGGGCAACUUUGGGACCGUUCCUUGUCUAUGUUCCUUGGAACAGGACGUCAUAGAGGGUGAGAAUCCCGUGUGGCGAGGAGUGCGGUUCUAUGUAAAGUGCCUUCGAAGAGUCGAGUUGUUUGGGAAUGCAGCUCUAAGUGGGUGGUAAAUUCCAUCUAAAGCUAAAUAUUGGCGAGAGACCGAUAGCGAACAAGUACAGUGAUGGAAAGAUGAAAAGAACUUUGAAAAGAGAGUGAAAAAGUACGUGAAAUUGUUGAAAGGGAAGGGCAUUUGAUCAGACAUGGUGUUUUGCGCCCUCUGCUCCUUGUGGGUGGGGGAAUCUCGCAGUUCACUGGGCCAGCAUCAGUUUUGGUGGCAGGAUAAAUCCGUAGGAAUGUAACUUGCUUCGGGAAGUAUUAUAGCCUAUGGGAAUACUGCCAGCUGGGACUGAGGACUGCGACGUAAGUCAAGGAUGGCUGGCAU
rnacentral:rRNA from 1 species